GAUGAACGCUGGCGGCGUGCCUAAUACAUGCAAGUCGAGCGAACGGACGAGAAGCUUGCUUCUCUGAUGUUAGCGGCGGACGGGUGAGUAACACGUGGAUAACCUACCUAUAAGACUGGGAUGACUUCGGGAAACCGGAGCUAAUACCGGAUGAUAUUUUGAACCGCAUGGUUCAAAAGUGAAAGACGGUCUUGCUGUCACUUAUAGAUGGAUCCGCGCUGCAUUAGCUAGUUGGUAAGGUAACGGCUUACCAAGGCAACGAUGCAUAGCCGACCUGAGAGGGUGAUCGGCCACACUGGAACUGAGACACGGUCCAGACUCCUACGGGAGGCAGCAGUAGGGAAUCUUCCGCAAUGGGCGAAAGCCUGACGGAGCAACGCCGCGUGAGUGAUGAAGGUCUUCGGAUCGUAAAACUCUGUUAUUAGGGAAGAACAUAUGUGUAAGUAACUGUGCACAUCUUGACGGUACCUAAUCAGAAAGCCACGGCUAACUACGUG
rnacentral:rRNA from 1 species